AUUGAACGCUGGCGGAAUGCUUUACACAUGCAAGUCGAACGGCAGCACGGACUUCGGGUCUGGUGGCGAGUGGCGAACGGGUGAGUAACAUAUCGGAACGUAUCCAAUAAUGGGGGAUAACUAAUCGAAAGGUUGGCUAAUACCGCAUACGCCCUACGGGGGAAAGCUAGGGACCUUCGGGCCUGGCGUUAAUGGAGCGGCCGAUAUCUGAUUAGCUAGUUGGUGAGGUAAAGGCUCACCAAGGCGACGAUCAGUAGCUGGUCUGAGAGGACGACCAGCCACACUGGAACUGAGACACGGUCCAGACUCCUACGGGAGGCAGCAGUGGGGAAUUUUUGGACAAUGGGCGCAAGCCUGAUCCAGCCAUUCCGCGUGAGUGAAGAAGGCCUUCGGGUUGUAAAGCUCUUUCGCAAGGGAAGAAAACUUAUCCUCUAACAUAGGAUGAGGUUGACGGUACCUUGAUAAGAAGCACCGGCUAACUACGUG
rnacentral:rRNA from 1 species